AUACGGAGGGAGCGAGCGUUAUUCGGAAUUACUGGGCGUAAAGCGCGCGUAGGCGGCUUUGUAAGUCGGAUGUGAAAGCCCUGGGCUCAACCUGGGAAUGGCAUUCGAUACUGCAGAGCUAGAGUAUGGUAGAGGGAAGUGGAAUUUCCGGUGUAGCGGUGAAAUGCGUAGAUAUCGGAAGGAACACCAGUGGCGAAGGCGACUUUCUGGGCCAAUACUGACGCUGAGGUGCGAAAGCGUGGGGAGCAAACAGGAUUAGAUACCCCAGUAGUCC
rnacentral:rRNA from 1 species